AACGAACGCUGGCGGCAUGCCUAACACAUGCAAGUCGAACGAGACCUUCGGGUCUAGUGGCGCACGGGUGCGUAACGCGUGGGAACCUGCCCUUAGGUUCGGAAUCACUCCCCGAAAGGGGUGCUAAUACCGGCUAAUGUCUUCGGACCAAAGAUUUAUCGCCUUUGGAUGGGCCCGCGUUGGAUUAGCUAGUUGGUAGGGUAAAAGCCUACCAAGGCGACGAUCCAUAGCUGGUCUGAGAGGAUGAUCAGCCACACUGGGACUGAGACACGGCCCAGACUCCUACGGGAGGCAGCAGUGGGGAAUAUUGGACAAUGGGCGAAAGCCUGAGCCAGCAAUGCCGCGUGAGUGAUGAAGGCCUUAGGGUUGUAAAGCUCUUUUACCCGGGAUGAUAAUGACAGUACCGGGAGAAUAAGCACCGGCUAACUCCGUG
rnacentral:rRNA from 1 species